GAGGAUCCAAUAACCUUUUAUAUGUUAUUGCUUUUAUAUGAUAUAUUCAUUCUUACUGUUUUAGUGUCGGAAAGUACAUAGCUUCAGACUUUAAAAAUUAAGCUUACUAAAUGAGAUGUAAUUCCUAUCGUUAGUCUUCUGUUUUUCCUUUUUAUACUGGAAGGGCAUUCAGUAGGAGCCCAGGAGUUCUGUAGACUGCAAGGGUACUAAAAAAAUAAUGUCACCCUCUUUGUUUUUUGGGUUUUUUUUUUCUAUGCUGUAUAUAAUUUAUUAGAUAUUUUCUUUAUUUACAUUUCAAGUGUUAUCCACUUUCCUGCUUUCCUCUCUGAAAACUCCCUAUCCCCUUCCCCCUCCCCCUGUUCACCAACUUACCUACUCCUGCUUCCUGGUCCUGGCAUUCCCCUACACAGAAGCAUAGAGCCUUCACAGGACCAAGGGCCUCUCCUCUCAUUGAUGUCCAACAAGGCCAUCCUCUGCUGCACAAGCAGCUGGAGCCAUGGGUCCUUCCAUGUGUACUCUUUUGGUUUAGUCCCUGGGAGCUCUGGGGGUACUGGUUUGUUCAUAUUGUUUUUCUUUCUAUGGGGCUGCAAACUCUUUCAGCUCCUUUGGUCCUUUCUCUAGCUCCUCCAUUUCACAAAAGAACACACAUGGUAUACACGCACUGAUAAGUGGAUAGUAGCCCAGAAGCUCAGAAUACCCAAGAUACAAUUCACAGACCAAAUGAAGCUCAAGAAGAAGGAAGACCAGAGUAUGGAUACUUCAGUCCUUCUUAGAAGGGGCAACAAAAUACCCAUGAGGAGGAGAUACAGAGAGGAAGUGUGGAGCAGAGACUGAAGGAAAGGUGACUGUCCUACCUGGGGAUCCAUCCAUAUACAAGCACCAAACCCAGACACUAUUGUGGAUACCAACAAGUGUUUGCUGACAGGAUUGUGAUAUGGCUGACUCCUAAGAGGCUCUGCCAGUGCUUGAAAAAUACGGAGAUAGAUGCUCUCAGUCAACCAUUGCAACCAUUGGAUGGAGCACCCUCUUUGUUUUACUCCCUGGUCAUUGUCCAGUUCCAAUGUAACCUGUGGCCAAUGUCCUGAGCUGGAGAGCAUGGUGGCUUUAGAGGCAGACAGAUGGAGAGUUGAUGGAGCGCCACCACAUACCUUCACUCACUCUUGGAUGCAGCGUGCUUAGAGUGGUAUUUUUGUGCAGGGUGAAGUUCAUAGCAUUCUCGGUAUAAUUCCCACUGAUUGGGACAUAAAAAGUAAGGAGCAAUAUCCACCUAUCCUUAUUAUCUUCUACUCCACAAAUUCUCUCAGCUCUAAACUGGAUGAAUAUCAACGUCUCCCUCAUUGGAGAGUCACCAUGAGAACCUUAAAACACAGGCAGUGUGCAUGAAGUACUCGGUCUGCUGCCUGCCAUGUAGUAGGAGCUUAAUAAAAGAAUUAUUUAAAAUGUCAUAUUAAUUACAUAGCUCUGGAGGAAUGGAGACAGAUGUGAUAAUUAAAUGCUUGAAUCUAUCCUAAUUAUACUCACGCUUUUAUAAAAAGCCUAUUAUAUAUAUUUUCUUAUAUUAAUAAGUUGUCUUUGAAGAGUAGAACCCCCAGAAUGUUUUAGGUGCCUAAGUCCUUGUAAAAAGCCUACUUUUUUCAGAAGUUACAUAUACAUGUAAACACAGAGGGGGGUGGGAAUUAUGGUCAUUGCCUGGUUAUUUAUAUGGCUUGUCACUGCAUAAUAGUAAGCAAUAGCCAUGUGGUGCUAGUAAGGCAUCCUAGCUUUGGGACAUAUCACUAGCCCUUACUCAUUUUAUAUUUAAUUCUAAGUUAUCGGCACUGUAGGAAAAACAGCUAAAGAAAUGAAUAGUCAGAUAUCCAGUUAUAUGAUAUCAACAUAUUUAGAUGAAAAAUGAGGAUUAUGUAAAUGAUGUUUUUUAACCUUAUAUACUGAACAUCUGCAUUACCUUGGGACACCUGGAUCUUUGACAACCACCAGCCUCAACAUGAUUAACUGAUCAUCUCAGGGUUUUAAUAUAAGUUAUUUGGCACCGAGGCAAAACAAAUUUAAGGAUUAUUAAUUAGCCUUCAGGUACAAGGAGAGUUAGAAAAAUUUCAGCUGUGAAAUAUAUAAAAAACCAGACACUACACUUAGACUGUGAGGCUAACAUCCAAAUGUGAAAUAAAUUGGGAGAUAAUUCUGGAAGAUACACAUACAAAUAGAUCUGGGGAAUUUUUUUCCUAUCUAUUAGAAACUAAAACAUGGU
rnacentral:lncRNA from 1 species